GUGACCUACGGGGGGCAGCAGUGGGGAAUAUUGGGCAAUGGGCGCAAGCCUGACCCAGCAACGCCGCGUGAAGGAAGAAGGCUUUCGGGUUGUAAACUUCUUUUCUGAGGGACGAUAGUGACGGUACCUCAGGAAUAAGCCACGGCUAACUACGUGCCAGCAGCCGCGGUAAUACGUAGGUGGCAAGCGUUAUCCGGAUUUACUGGGUGUAAAGGGCGUGUAGGCGGGAUGGUAAGUCAGUUGUGAAAACUAUGGGCUCAACACAGAGCCUUCAUUUUAAACUAUCGUUCUUUAGUGUUGG
rnacentral:rRNA from 1 species